AAUUCCCCAGGAAUGCGGCAAAUGAAUCCCAACUGUACUAGACGUGAAAACAUUAACCCGAGGAAUUUUGUAAAAUUAGCCUUCUGGAGAUUUAUAACCUCCGUGUACACGGACAAUGGGCUCAGAGAUGAACGUGCACAGGAAGUCCGUAAAGGUCUGCUGUGAUGAUUCAAAUAACUGGGGGAACGCCUGCUCCUGUGGCUGACGGACGUUUCUCGGAUCAUUUUUGAAAUCCUAACGGAAGACGAUGCAGUUCGAAUGGAAGAGGACAUGAAUAUGUUUUUUCCCAGCUAUAUAAAUGAUGAGGACGUGUCCAAAUUAAGAAAAGGAGUUCAAAGCAACCCACUCGGUGUGAAAUGACGCUUCGGUUCAAACAAAUAUGGAAAUUAAUAAAAAUAAUGCACACUGCACAGUAUUAUUCUGUUUAUACCAGGAGAGCGAUAUGAAUCUGACCUAAAUAUAAACACAUCUCUUGUUGAACAGUCCUUCCUUCUAGAUGCCACACCUCAAGUAACCAAGUGAGUGCUAAAGAUUACGAGAUCAGGUGGUGCAACGAUCGGCGUCGUGUUACAAUCAAGGGCUCUAAAGCCCCGCCCACAGGGUGACUCAACUGUGCCCGUUGUUUCACAACCGCCGUGCGAGCUUGGUAAAGUUCCACUACUGAGGAAACGAUGACACGCUCUGCCACACGGGACAGGAUCGAUGAGUCACCACUUCAACGGCGUUUAAUGAAUGAACCUCAUUUGAAAACGCCUCCAGGGCCCUCGACAAUAAAGUAAGACGGAAUAUACUUUUCACAUUCACACACGAGCACACAGAAGAAUCCAUCCCAUCCCCAACAUCCACUCCGCAUGCGUCCAUGGAGGAGGAAAGUGUCCGACCUGCUCGAGAUGGUUGAAUAAGUGAAGUGGAGAUAACGUCGACGGUACAAUAGUACCAGGCUGGUGAAGGAAGCGCUAACGGAUUCCGCAUUUUUAAGCCGAAGCUUGACCACAACAUAUUUGGUUAAAACAAACAGCCAUUGUUUUCUGUGGAGUCAGCACUGCGCCAGACUUUUCAUCCUUUUCAAAUGCGACGCCGCUCGUCUGCAACGCGUCAUUUUGUAACCGAGAAGGCGUUUUGGCUUGGCGUGCUCUCGUUCAUUUGGCGUGCACUCAACACACCAGACAGAAUGCUGUUAUUGGAGGAAGUAACGAGCGCGGCAGCUUUAAAAAAAAAAAAAAAUAGUGAUCAAGGGAUCAAAUUUACGCCGAAGUGAAGAGCGGUAUACGUGCAUUUCAAUAAGCGCGUCAGAAAUAUUUGAAGAAACUUCAAAGUGUUACAUUUGACACAUGACUUGUCAUCCAGUGAAGCCAGCCCAGGGUCACGGGGUACACCUGGAAUCUGAAAACCAGAUUAAGGAACCAAACUGUUAAAACAACGUGGCGCGUGGCCACGGCAAGUGAAUCCAACUUCACGUCACUUUCUUUUUUAAAAAAAAAGAGAAAUGUUGACUCAAAUUUGGAAAUAAAGUUAUCGCAAUCAUUAGAGAGAGAGCUGUGACUGUUUAACACAAAUGCCUCCUUUGACCUUAUUGGACUUUUUGCCUUGUGGCGUAAAAAGAGGGUCAUUACAUUAUUUUAUAAUAAGGUCCGGGCAGCCAGAGGGUGUUCCCCUUCUUUCCUCAGCCCGACCUCCCAUUACAAAACCAGAGCUCUGCAAUCACUGAAUGAGCUGAAGUCAUUAUUACUACUCACCCACUUCUGUGUGUGUGGGUUGGGUGUGUUGUAUGUGUGAGUGUGUGUGUCCCCCAAUCAGGAGCUUUGGCAGGCCCGAUAGCAGCUGGCGAAGCGUCAGCCAGCGGUUUAUUAAAACCGCUGGCUGACGCUUUCCAGAGCGCCGCGACAGCUCUGCCGUUCUGUUGAUCGGUUCAGGCGGCAGGAAACGGAAUCACUCCACCGAACCGGCUUCUGGUUACAAAGCGGUCGGUUGUCUCCGUGCCAAACUGGCUUCUUAGUGCCAGCUCGGCUUUUUUUUCCUCUUUUUAUUUUUUGCAUUUAUGGGUUUUCCCAGCGUGAGACAAACAUGUGUCUGUAAGUGCAGAAAAUGGCAACGAACCAGACUGAUGGCAUUUAAAAAAAAUGUAAUGUUAGCAAUCAAAACGCAUGAAAUUGAAAGAAUUUCAAAAUGUUUAGAAAAGAACGUUUGACUAAACAUAACAACCCCGUGUGUACCCCAACGGCAGCCAACAGUCUGCCAGGAGCUUCCGAAGACACAGAGGCCGUUAUUGCUUUGGCCUCGCUGGAGGUAAGGGGGGCACAGGAGGAACCCAGGGCUGAGCGGGACCCCUGCUGCAGUAAAGACAAGGGGGGUGCUUGGAAGCAUUACAACUUCUGUCCACAAAUUAAAGUUCCCUGUAGUGGCUUCACGGUGUAAUUUAACAGCUGGGAAACAUGAUAUGAAACAACAACAAGUUGGGAUAAGAGCAUCAGAAGAAGAAAAAAAACACAUCAAGAAUGAAUUCAUUUGGAGUGAACAAGGUUUUUUUUUUUACAGGGCUGAUGCGUUUAUUGCCUACUGGCUGUUGAUUUCUGGAAAACGUCAUGAUUCACCAACAUGUGGCCGUGAUUUACUGAGCGAGGGAAGAGUGAGUGGCCAUUAAUGUCGGGCGUGUCCAUGUGCUUGUACGUACACAUUUGUCGAGUAACAACCGGCUGAACCACAGACCCCCAUUAUGACAGCGAUGAGGAGGAUGGAGGUGAAUGACGUGAUGGCUGUGACGCAACAGCACUUAUUGCUCAUCAGCACCAAACAAGACCAGCUCGACAAACUGGACUACGUUCACCAGCCUGGUUGUGUUGAUAUUGUUGGAUGAAGCUGGGCCAGAUGCCUGCCCCCGCCGUCCCCCAAAAAUACAAAGGAGUCAGCGCUACAGCAAGCUAAUGAUCGCGGCAAUUCAUUUGUUUGCUAGCUAUAAAAGUAUUAGUCUAUCAAAGUUAGUAUAUUUUUAACAUGUUAGCUACCAUGUUAUUGUGUUAAAAAGGAUGGUGUGCACACUUAAUCAGAAAUCCAAUAUUACCAUUGGGCGUCUUCCCCCAAAAACCCUUCUUACACCAUCACAUAUUACAAAAAAACAAAGAAACCCAGCCUACACUAUCGCCUCUAUUUUGAGACAAUAAAUACAAAAUAUCCUGUGCGACAUGCAUGAAUUCCAACGUGCAGCACAGGACACAGCUACACAACAGGAGUGUUUUUACUCCAGAUGAGGCGUGAUCAUGACGAUGAGUGCCAUCCGCUCAAAACAUGACCGGAGGCCUCGCCGGUUGAUCUGGGUCGUUCCUGCACUGAUGAGUAUUCAGGGAGCGGGACCAGUUUUAUGACCAGCAGCCAAGUCGGAUUGGCUUUUUGGAUCUCGCCUUCCUCCUCUGACUGCGUCUCGACUCUUCUUUGAUCACUGCAUGUCAGUGUUUUACUGCGGCAGCAUUUACUUAUUGAGAUUUCUUUUGUAUUAUUAUCAAACUAUAAUGUAACCGUCUAACAGCAGAAAACAUACAUGUCUUUCUUUUCUUUGAAGGGUGUAGGCAGAACCCUUUACAGUGUGUGUCUGCGCUGAAGGCCCCUCUAGGGGUGAAUGCAUUUGUACAAAUAUUUUUCUGGAUCUAUUCUUAAGAGCUGUAAAUUAAAAUAAGAUAAGUAGAAAAGUGCGUCUGGUCACAGUAAUAAGGUGAUGUCCGUAUGAAAUUAACCAAAUUAACUAAAAGACAGGUCUAGGCAACCUUCGCUGAUGAUGGUUAACUUCUUCUUUUUUGUUGCUUCACGCCACACGUUAAAACCAGCUAGAGGAAGUUAUUGGUCAGAAAAGAGAAGUCAUUUUUGUUGGUGCACAAGCAUGUGAGAACUGAAUUUCUUGUUGUGUUAAUCUAGAGGGGAAACUUGAAAAAAAAAAAUGUAGAAAAAAAACAAACACAUAACCAAUGUUGUACCUGACGUCUGUAGCG